CGAAGAAGAAGCACUUCCUUCCAAGCUGUUUCCAUGACAAUCAAACAUGGCGCCGGGAAGCCAACCAAUCCUUUCGUCCACUCCUCUUCAGGUCCUCUUCUACCUGAACAGCUGGUACUUUGCUGCCUUCUACGUGGCAGAGAUCCUGAUGUUCAUCUA